AGAGGGGCACAUUAAGUAUACCGACUUCAGUUACAUUGUUAAGCUUCAUGAUGGAAAAUACGGCCCAAUCUACAAGGCUAAACACCAAGGCUGGGAAGAUAGGAUGCUGGUUUUCAAAACUUUUGAAGACAAUGGUCUUUCUGCACGGAAAGAGCUGAAAGAGCAGUGCGGAAUGUGGAUGAAGCUCAACUAUUCUCGUUUCAUCGUUCAACUCUAUGGGUACACGAUUUCUGAUGAUGGUUGCAUGUGCUUUGUGGUUGAAUACAUGCUCUUGGUACCCUCCGAAGUGUUCUCCUGGAUGAAGCAAACCAUCAAUUACAUGGGAACAACGAAAGAAGAUUGCCAGGGACUGCGCUCAGGGUCUCUGUGCAAUCCACCGUGGCCAAGGAAAGACAAUGCUACAUCGGGCAAUCACUUCUACUAGAUUCAUGUUGGAUGAGAACUACAAAGCUAAGAUCUCCGAUAAUGGUUUUGUGAAGUCGGCAUCCAAGAUCAGUACAAGCAAAUUAGCCAUGUCGUCUGACGGCAGUGGGAGCGUUGAAAAGGAUGAAACAAACUACCUCUGCCCUGAGGAAACAAGUACUAGCUUUAGGCGAACCAUCAAAAGUGAAGUCUACAAGCUUGGAAUCAUUUUUAUGAAAUAGCAGCAGGGAAAAAACCAUUCCAGGCCAAGGAAGAAGAAGAAGGUGGGAAGCCUUGGAAACAUGGGGAUAAAUACACAUUUGUCAAGGCUGGUAAGACAGAGCAACCUCCUGCAGACACGCCAAAGGACUUCAAGGAUCUCAUUGACCAAUGCAGACAGGAGAAACCUUCUGACAGGCCUUCUACCUAUGAGGUUGUUUGCUCGCUUGAAAAGAUGUGUUCUCCAGCUGAGGAUUGAGAAAUGACAAAGCCUUCCUGAAUCUUACAUACCCAAACGUCGCCAACAGAGCAACAACAUCAUGAUCUUUUAGAAUUGAUGGAUUUGGUCUAGUAGAAUAUGGUCUUUCACUACAGUCAAACUCUGACAAUAUUCCUUUUCAUUGAGAUAGAUUUUGUACAAAGAACAACAACUUUUGACAGUAAUAUUGUUUGUUUGCACAGUUACUUCAAAAUUCUGGUCACAAACCUUGUAUUUACUUAUCCUGCAUUUUUCUUGUAAGGGGAGAGAUCUUGCAUCUCAAGUUGUACUUCAACAAAAAUAAUACCCUUAAAGGUAUAGACCAGUCUUGGAAACGCCCCCUCUCAAAAAUUGAAAUGGAAG